CAGUUUGCAAGUCAAAACGUUAUGGAGACCUGAUCAAAAGCUUUGCUGAAAUCUAGAUAAAUGGCAUCUAAAGCAUUCCUGCUAUUAGCUAAACUAGUGACCAGAUCAAAAAGAUAUAAGAUUGCUUUGGCAGGAUUUGUUCUUGACGAGCCCAUGCUCGCUGCUACUAAUCACUGCAUUGUCAUCAAGAUACUUGCAGCCAGACUCAUAUAUAAUCUGUCCUAAUAGUUUCCUGGUAUUGAAGUCAGGCUGACUGAUCUGUAGUUUCCUGGAUCUUCUAUUUUUUUUCUGAAGGAAGGAACAAUGUUUGACCUUCUCCAGUCUCUUUGGCAUCUCAUUUUUUUCUCCAGGAUUUCUUAAAAUGAUGACAAGUGGUUCAGAGAGUAUAUUAGGAAGUCCUUUUGGUACUUUGGGAUGCAGUUCAUCUGGCCCUGCAGAUUUGAACUCAUUUAGGUUAACUAGGCGAUUCCUGACAAACUCCCUUUCAGUCUUCAUUUGCAAUCCGGCUUCUUUGCCAAGAUAUCUGCUGCUACAUAGUUCACAAUUACCUUUUAUUGUGGGAAGCAAAAUAAGUAUAUACUAGUCCUGUCUUUUCUGUGUGAUCUGCUAGCAUUGUGUCAUCCUUAUUGAACUGUGGUCCCAUUGUCUCCUUACUUAAAUUGCAGCUUCUGGACUCAAGUACAAUUCAUAAUACAGCCCAGUAAAAAUAAAAAAUCUUAGUGUGUUGUUUCGUAGGCUUCUUCCUGGCGUUAUUUGGAAUGCUGAUUCAGAAAAUUGCAUGGAAUAGACCACAUCAGUUAUGGGUUCUUAGGUAUGGUUUUCUAUAAGUGAGCAAAUUAAGACUAUAUGGCAUGUGUUCUGUAUCUCAAAAACUAGAGCUGAUAAGGGAAAUUGUGGCAUUUUUGGAAUCAGCAGGCCAAAUAUAUGCAGAAAAAAGGCUUACAUUUGAGGCACCAAAAUGUGUGUGAGCCGAUGAGCAGUGGAGUUGUGCUCGGAAUUCAUUUCUCCCAUUUUUUCAUUUCUUUCGUUUCUUUGGGAGUACAAAAUGGGAAGAUCUUCCACACAUGAAAAUCAGCUCAACACGAAAGCAAGCUCCAAGUCUUCUUUUGCCUGCAGCCAAGCACCUCCCAGAACUUGCAUCCUUGCCUUGGAAAGAGAGAAUGUGUGUGACAUAACGCGCAGGCCUGGAAAGCGUGUGCACUUCCAGGGCCUGCAGCCGAGCGCCUCUUAUUCUAGAGUAGAAACAGCAGAGCAUGCAUCCAGAGAGGAACAUAGAGGUGAACCAGAUGAGUGAUGUAGUGCAGGUGACCACGGCUCCCAAAUGGACCACGCUAAUGAAAUUCUAUCUGCAUAGAAAAAUCCUCGCCUCCCUUUAGAAGGCACGACGCUGGACUGGCAAUGUGUUCGUUCGUUCGCCUGGCCUGCUAACUUUUACAUCCUACGAUGUAAAGGGGAAUCUUUUGUUCUGUAAACACUCAUUAAGUCCCAUUAGUAUCCAUAUUCAAGGCUCCAGGCACUGUGUUGGUACUGUUGUUAGGGGAGAUGAAAGGCAAUAAGAAGGAACAAUAAACAAUCAGUGCAAAA